rnacentral:ncRNA from 2 species
UGCUUAUUGAGAAAGACGGAGGGAUUAGACCCUGCGAAGUCUUGGCAACCUGUGCUUACAAGGUGCUACAUUCUACCUGAUUCAAUAUCGGGAAAGAUAAGCA